UACAUAGACUGCGAGCGUUAUUCGGAUUCACUGGGCGUAAAGGGUGCGCAGGCGGCCGUGUGUGUGAGGCGUGAAAGCCCGGGGCUUAACCCCGGAAUUGCACCUCAAACUACACGGCUAGAGCAUUGGAGAGGGUAGCGGAAUUCACGGUGUAGCAGUGAAAUGCGUAGAUAUCGUGAGGAACAACAGAGGCGAAGGCGGCUACCUGGACAAUUGCUGACGCUCAGGCACGAAAGCGUGGGGAGCAAAAGGG
rnacentral:rRNA from 1 species